AAUAAUUGAAUAAAACUGAGUGACUUCUCAUUAGACCUGGCAAACAGGCCGGGCUAGCCCAAACGGGCCAGGCCAAAAUGGCCCAAGUUUUGGUGGGAUAGAAUUAAGUGGCCCGUGGCCCGAGUUGGGCCAGGCCGGCCCAGCCCGCGGACUUUUUCUAAUUUUUUUUAAAAAAAAUUCUGUAAAUCAACCAGCUCAAACCUCAGUAUUGAUAAACAUAUAAAGAAUAAUUGGUUCAACUUAAUAUAUUCCUCACUGUAAAUGUUGAAAUAGAUAGAUUAACGAUAACACAGCUAAAGAAAAUGACACUGUUGUUUUCUCUAAAUGACAUUCCUCACUGCAUGACAUUCCUCAGUCCUCACUGCAUCUGCUCUGUAAAAUAAGCUCCAAAUACAUGCUUGCAAUCCCAUCUUCUCCGUCCAAGAAUGGCAUGACAUCCUGUGCAGAAAGAUUCAUAAAUGUGUACGCAGUAGUUGCAUUGCAUAAAUGAACAAUAGUGGCCUUCAUUGUAUACAGUAUAUUCCUUCCCAAAAAUUAGUAUAUAUUUACACAUUUUUUUCUUGAAUUCUGAUAAUGAAUACUUUACUUAGAACAAACAAAUAAAGGAAACCUUUUUUGCCAUCUUGCAGUUUACUUAGAACAACCAAAUUGGAUUUAUCUUGCAGUUUGUGACUGUACACAAGAUAACCUUUUCUUAGUACUUGAAAAAUCAAACAAAAAUCAAUGAAAUAGUUCAUAAAAAAUGAAGAAUCAAACCUUGAAGAAAAGGAUCAUUAGGGUGUUGGAAAAUGCAUGAAACAUUGUUCUGAAUCAGAAAACAAAAAAACAUCAAGAUGCCACCUGCAAACUUAAGGAAUUAGAGAGGCUAAAACUUAUGCAAGACAUGGGACACGCUGAAUAUCAUAUACAUAUAACAAUAUAUGUUCAACCCAAAUUAAAUUAAUCCCCAUAUCAUCAUUCAUUCAUACUCAACUGUCCACCCUUAAAUCUAAAAUUAGCAGAAAUUAAGUAGCAUCUAGUUCACUAUUUACUUUAAAUGAUUAAAUUGUUUUAAUUUAUAUAAAAAGUAAAAAUAUGUAUGGAACAUAAUUUCCUUAAAGUAGAUGGUAUAUAUACUUUAUAACAUAUUAUUAGGUUAAUUAAAUUCCAUUUGAACCUCUGUAGUUCAAGGGAUAACCAAACACUACCCAUACGAACAAAUUCCGGCAUUAAACAGAAACUCACAAAUGGUCAUAGAAAGAGGAAAAAAAGCUCUAAACAAAUCAUCAAUUUCGGAACUAGCAAUAGCGUACAUGAAUGUAUAUAUUUAUAUUCAGAAUGUGGUUCAGAGAAUCGUCAAAAAUGAUAUUAGAAAGGGAAAAGAAAAGAUACAAAUGGUUAGACCCAAGUUUCGAUAGUUAGUCUUUGCCCAAUUUCCUUCUCAUUCUUCUUCUUCCCCAUUUCUACGACUUUACUGUGUCCUUGGGUACUAAUUGAACAUACUCGACAAACAUGUGUUUUUGGUAUUUAUAGUCUUUUCUCGCAUAACAUAAACCGGAUUUUUCAAAAAAUUAUAGAAAUAGUACUCCCAGAUUCAAAAAAAGUAGAAAAUUACCCAGAUUCCAGAGAGAAAUUGGUCUCACAGAAUGAGGAUUUGGAUUCGGGAUGAAGAGAAGAAGCUACACAGUCGGCGUGGUCGAUCGAUCGAAAGUUUGGAUUUCCCAGCCGGCAGUCGUCGUUGUCUCGCUGUCUCAUACUCUCAUUUUCAGAUCUAGAUCUAAAAAAAGUCCCUUUUAAUUUAUUAUGCCUUAGCCAAGUCGAUUAGACCCCUUAGGGAGAUUACAUAGCCAGAUUACAGAUAAUGAUUUUUU
rnacentral:lncRNA from 1 species